rnacentral:rRNA from 1 species
GACGAACGCUGGCGGCGUGCCUAAUACAUGCAAGUAGAACGCACAGUUUAUACCGUAGCUUGCUACACCAUAGACUGUGAGUUGCGAACGGGUGAGUAACGCGUAGGUAACCUGCCUGGUAGCGGGGGAUAACUAUUGGAAACGAUAGCUAAUACCGCAUAAUAUUAAUUAUUGCAUGAUAAUUAAUUGAAAGGUGCAAUUGCACCACUACCAGAUGGACCUGCGUUGUAUUAGCUAGUAGGUGAGGUAACGGCUCACCUAGGCGACGAUACAUAGCCGACCUGAGAGGGUGAUCGGCCACACUGGGACUGAGACACGGCCCAGACUCCUACGGGAGGCAGCAGUAGGGAAUCUUCGGCAAUGGACGAAAGUCUGACCGAGCAACGCCGCGUGAGUGAAGAAGGUUUUCGGAUCGUAAAGCUCUGUUGUAAGAGAAGAACGGGUGUGAGAGUGGAAAGUUCACACUGUGACGGUAUCUUACCAGAAAGGGACGGCUAACUACGUGC